UGGAUGGUUUGUGGCUGUGACUGCAGACGUCGAAGAGAAAGUGAUCGGAAGAAAGAUCUGGUGAUGGUGGCACAGCCUCCCACAACAGAUGUCACUGUUCCACCGGCCUCUGGACUCUGAGGACAGAUGCAGAGACAUACAGAAGCAUCAUGGUCAGAGACACAGUUGCUGACAGGACAGAGUUGACUUUACCUGUGAGGCGGCGGCAGCAGCAGCAGAGGAGAGUCCAGGACAAACGGGGAUUUGAUCCAGUGACCAGCCGCUGUACAGUCCUGACCUUCUCUCCUGGGUUUUAUGCUCAUGAUCCCGAUUCUUUCACCUUUUACUUAUGAUAAUAAAGAUGUUUCCACAGACUUUUAAAUUCAAACGGGCAUUUAUGUUCCACAGAGGAAGAAGAAACAGUUUAAAACUGAGAUCUUUGACAUGAACUGAGAGAAAAGAAAUCAUGUAAAGAAACUGCUUCGUUCCAUCUCAUAGAUUUAUACAUAUAAACAUCACAUAACAUUAUUUGA